rnacentral:lncRNA from 1 species
AUGUGAAAUUAUUAACAUUCUGGCAAUUAAUCAGUUCAUACUUUUUGAAGAAGCAUAUUAAAAACCAUGAGACUUGCCCUGUUUAUUCUUGUACGCUGUAAGUUGCUAGAAAAUAUUAGUUUCCCUAAAUAUUGUAUUGUUAUUCAUAGAUAAAACAAGGAUUGAAUUAAAUGGAAAAAUUAAAAUUGUAUAUAUAUGUUAAGUGAUUACUAGUGAAUUUUUUUUAUUAUACUUUAAGUUCUAGGGUACAUGUGCACAGCGUGCAGGUUAGUUACAUGUGUAUACAUGUGCCAUGUUGGUGUGCUGCACCCAUUAACUCGUCAUUUACAUUAGGUAUAUCUCCUAAUGCUGUCCCUCCCCACUCCCCCAACCCUACAACAGGCCCCAGUGUGUGAUGUUCCCCACCCUGUAUCCAAGUGUUCUCAUUGUUCAAUUCCCACCUAUGAGUGAAAACAUGCGGUGUUUGGUUUUCUGUCCUUGGCGAUAGUUUGCUGAGAAUGAUGGUUUCUAGCUUCAUCCAUGUCCCUACAAAGGACAUGAACUCAUCCUUUUUUAUGGCUGCAUAGUAUUC